CUCAGGCCAGGCAUUACUCAGUAAUAACUCAUGAAGAAACUCAGUGAAUACGAUAGUGGUGCUCACUUAUUGGCUGAUCUAACUCACAUCACCAGGGUGACUUCGUUAUGCGUGAGUUCUGAGUGCUUAGUUUCGUGAAUUCGAACUGAGUCGGAAAUGAGUUUUGCUUGGGCAAAUCUAGUUUCCUGCGCAAUGCAUGAGUUCUCGCGAAUUCACGUGCAGUUGUGCGUGAGGUACCCCCGGCUUGAAGAUGCGCGCAUGCGCGGCAGGGCGAGUUUCCUGCGUGAUGCGUGAGUUCGCGUGAUGAGUAUUAUAGCCGUUGCGUUCGAAAACCGCGGCGCGCGCUUCAGUCCGUUGUGGCGCGGUGACUCGCGUAGUUCACGUUGAAUUGUUGAGGCUAUUGUGAAAUUAUGCAGGAGAGUGCAGGAGCGGGGAAGGCGUGCAGCGAAGGAUGGGACGGGUAAGUUAUCUGUGAAGAGCUCGGUGAUUGUCGAUGAAGCUUUUAUCAAUCGCAUGCGCCGCGGAGAACAGGGAGGUGAACGGAUGGACCAGCAGACAUUCCCCGCCGGCGUCAGGAGUUCGGUGCCAACCGUGAACGGCGGAGCAGAUCGAUCGAGAAACUGAGGGAUACCUACCCGGCAUAGUUCGAGAAAGAAGAGGGAACGGCCCAUUGAGCCUCCUCUGCAUCUUGGCGGAGAAGGCGUCAGUGGUGGCGUACACGGGUGACGAAAAUUUGGAUCACCCCUAUCAUAACAAGUCCGAAGGAAACGAACGGUGCCGCCUCAUCGUGGAGCGAACGGAAUUCUUGUGGGGAUCCAUGGUUUGGAAGGGAGUCUUUUGCUGUGGACGACGGCGCACUUUGUGCUCAGUCAACAAACGGCGCACAAAGUGCGAAACACGCUGUGGUUUGUGUGUAUCCAUGUGCUCCACACACCAUUCAAUGCUGAGCGCCAGCCACCUGUAGCCGCGAAGACUGAGGUCGAGAAGCUGGCAAAAUAGUGAAGCUGAGCUGACGUGGAGUCGAUCCCCCCCCCCCCCCGACGCAGUUUGGCGUGUGUCAGAAUUGAAAUACAGCGCAAUGCGACCGUUUCUACAAACA